CACGUAGGGGGCAAGCGUUGUCCGGAAUCAUUGGGCGUAAAGAGCUCGUAGGCGGCUCGGUAAGUCGGGUGUGAAACCCCCAGGCUCAACCUGGGGACGCCACCCGAUACUGCUGUGGCUAGAGUCCAGUAGGGGAGUGUGGAAUUCCCGGUGUAGCGGUGAAAUGCGCAGAUAUCGGGGGGAACACCAGCGGCGAAGGCGGCACUCUGGGCUGGAACUGACGCUGAGGAGCGAAAGCGUGGGUAGCAAACAGG
rnacentral:rRNA from 1 species